ACACGACAAAGGCAUUUCAUGUCUCACAUGUCCGGACAGUGCAGUAUAGGCUACAACACAUCACUAAAGUCCUGUUUCUGGAGCUCAAACGUUCGUCUAUGGACCUCCUCCUUUCUCAGGUUCACCAGCUGGACCAGCACAUAUUUGGAAACAGAUCCAUAAUUUUCAGCAAUGGAUGGAUUUAACCUCUCUGAAUGAUUUGGGCACCUCUGAAGGCCACUAAUGGAGAAAAGUGAAGACUAAGAUAAAGUAUGGUAAAGGUUUGAAAUGAAGUAAACUGCAUACAAUCCAAGGAGUGGAAAUUUUAGAUGACAACUCAAAAUGUUCGUAAAGGGUAUACAGUCAAGCAGUUGGAAAAUCUCAACAUCAGUUCCAGCUGAAAUCAAGAGGCUCUAAAUCUGGGUUUUACUAUUGUUUUCUAUGGAUAAGAAAACUACUUAAUGUAAUGUAAAUGUAAGAAAUGUGUUAAAGGUUCAUGUAGAAGUGGUUGCAUGAUGUCUAAAUAAAUGAAUCUAAGAAUAAUUUAUUUUGUAAAGCAGCAAUGAUAGCUGAAUCGUUUUUUCUUUUGUCUAUACAGGUCCGUGGACGUCUAACAGACAUGUGCUAACUUCAGUGUGCACUGGUAUCUAUUUGCUUUUGUAAUAAAAUACAUUUAAUCACAGUG